rnacentral:rRNA from 1 species
AUUGAACGCUGGCGGCAGGCCUAACACAUGCAAGUCGAGCGGAUGAAGGGAGCUUGCUCCUGGAUUCCGCGGCGGACGGGUGAGUAAUGCCUAGGAAUCUGCCUGGUAGUGGGGGAUAACGUCCGGAAACGGGCGCUAAUACCGCAUACGUCCUGAGGGAGAAAGUGGGGGAUCUUCGGACAUCACGCUAUCAGAUGAGCCUAGGUCGGAUUAGCUAGUUGGUGGGGUAAAGGCCUACCAAGGCGACGAUCCGUAACUGGUCUGAUAGGAUGAUCAGUCACACUGGAACUGAGACACGGUCCAGACUCCUACGGGAGGCAGCAGUGUGGAAUAUUGGACAGUGGGCGAAAGCCUGAUCCAGCCAUGCCGCGUGUGUUGAGAAGGUCUUCGGAUUGGAAAGCACUUUAAGUUGGGAGGAAGGGCAGUAAGUUAAUACCUUGCUGUUUUGACGUUACCAACAGAAUAAGCACCGGCUAACUUCGUG